rnacentral:rRNA from 1 species
GACGAACGCUGGCGGCGUGCUUAACACAUGCAAGUCGAACGGAAAGGCUCCAGCUUGCUGGAGUACUCGAGUGGCGAACGGGUGAGUAACACGUGGGUAAUCUGCCCUGCACUCUGGGAUAAGCCUGGGAAACUGGGUCUAAUACUGGAUAUGACCGUUCUCCUUAUGGGGUGUGGUGGAAAGUUUUUCGGUGUAGGAUGAGCCCGCGGCCUAUCAGCUUGUUGGUGGGGUGAUGGCCUACCAAGGCGACGACGGGUAGCCGGCCUGAGAGGGUGAUCGGCCACAUUGGGACUGAGAUACGGCCCAGACUCCUACGGGAGGCAGCAGUGGGGAAUAUUGCACAAUGGGCGGAAGCCUGAUGCAGCGACGCCGCGUGAGGGAUGACGGCCUUCGGGUUGUAAACCUCUUUCAGCAGGGACGAAGCGUAAGUGACGGUACCUGCAGAAGAAGCACCGGCUAACUAUGUG